UACGUAGGGGGCAAGCGUUGUCCGGAUUUAUUGGGCGUAAAGAGCGUGUAGGCGGCCAGGUAGGUCCGUUGUGAAAACUCGAGGCUCAACCUCGAGACGUCGGCGGAAACCCUCUGGCUAGAGUCCGGAAGAGGAGAGUGGAAUUCCUGGUGUAGCGGUGAAAUGCGCAGAUAUCAGGAAGAACACCCGUGGCGAAGGCGGCUCUCUGGGACGGUACUGACGCUGAGGUGCGAAAGCGUGGGGAGCAAACAGG
rnacentral:rRNA from 1 species